GGGCUGGCUGAAGAGGAGAGCUGACACACACUGCUGACUCCUGCCAGGGAAUUGCUGGAGCUACAGACUGUGGAGGCCGAGCCAGUGGGAUCGACGGCGAAACCCCUGAUAACCCUGGAGGACAAGAGUGAGCUGGAAGGCCAAUAUCCCACGAGAACUGACAGAGCAGAAAGCAUGGAACCUGAAUCUGCUGACCUGCAGAGCACAGUUUAAGAUCUCGUUGAGACUUCUUGUGACGGUGGUACAUAAUUCAUGGCAUGAGGAGUGGAGCUGCACUGGAGAAUCAAAGAAUGAUAUAAACUGCAGAAAAGAUGACAGUUUUCAAAGAAAAAGAGAUAGUAGAGGGAUACAUCAACUUUCCUUCACUCAUCCUGAUAUAUAAAGACACACAAAUCUAAUAAUUUGUACAACAGAAAUAGAAAAAACUUUCAGGAAGAAGUCAAUUUGAAAGGUAAUUUCAUCAUCAGAAUAUUUCUCUUACAAGAUUUCAUGAGAAAAAUGUAGCCCUGCAAUUAUCAACUGCAAAAGGAAACAACAAUUCCGAUAUUACAUUAGAGAGUCUUAAUUAAAUUUUGUAAACCACUAUUUGAGGCAGCAGUGGUCAACAGCAAAAACAGUUGACGGGAA